rnacentral:rRNA from 1 species
UAAAGUUUCGACAGUGGAUGUCUUGGCUCCCAUACCGAUGAAGAACGCAGCAAAGUGCGAUAAUUCUGGCGAAUUGCAGACUGUGAGUCAUAAAAUUUCGAACGCAUCU